CACAUCCUGAGGUGCUGAAGAACCCUGUGCUGCCUGUGAUCCCGCUCCUGAACACCCACCGCCGAGAUGUCCUGCCAGCAGAGCCAGCAGCAGUGCCAGCCCCCUCCCAAGUGCACCCCCAAGUGCCCUCCCAAGUGCCCCGCCCCCAAAUGCCCCCCAAAGUGCCCCCCUAAGUGCCCUCCAGUGUCUUCCUGCUGCAGCGUCAGCUCUGGGGGCUGCUGUGGCUCCAGCUCUGGGGGCUGCUGCAGUUCCGGGGGAGGUGGCUGCUGCCUGAGCCACCACAGGCGCCACAGGUCCCACCGCCACAGACCCCAGAGCUCUGACUGCUGCAGCCAGCCCUCAGGCGGCUCCAGCUGCUGCGGAGGGGGCUCCAGCUGCUGUGGAGGCGGCAGUGGCCAGCAUUCUGGAGGCUGCUGCUGAAGUGGACCCUGAGCCUAGAAGAGCGGAAUCCUGUUCUAGGACAUCCGCCUUCUCCUCCUAGGCCUACCUGAGAGGCUCACAGGUCCCAGGGAACGCUCUGAACUUACCAAGAGCAUAUCUUCUCCCUGGAGUCCAGAAACUCAGAUCCUCUCCUGGAUCUCCAUCCACUGGCCUUGGACCUCACAUUCGUGGCCACCCUCCCACCCUCUGUGUAAGCUCCUAGCUCACUCCACGUCGUAUCUUCUUGCAGCGUGCAUCUGCUGAUUAAAACAAUAAAACAAGGAAUCUGC